rnacentral:rRNA from 1 species
ACUCAAAUGAAUUGACGGGAGUCUACACAAGCGGUGGAGCAUGUGGUUUAAUUCGAUAAUACGCGCAGAACCUUACCAACUCUUGCUAAUUUUUAUAUAAAAUUUUAUAUAAAAAACAGGCGUUGCAUGGCUGUCGUCAGCUCGUGUUGUGAAAUGUUUGGUUAAAUCCUUUAACGAGCGCAACCCCUAUUGUUAGUUGCUAAUUUAUUAAAAAAAAAUAAAAGUACUCUAACAAAAAAAUUAAUGAUAGGUUAAUGGAAGGUGGGGAUGACGUCAAGUCUUCAUGGCCCUUAUGAGUUGGGCUACACACGUGCUACAAUGAUAAUCACAAUGAGAGGCAAUAAUGAUAAAAAUUGGAGCAAAUCUUUAAAAAUUAUCUUAGUUCGGAUUAAGGGCUGAAACUCGCCCUUAUGAAGUUGGAAUCGCUAGUAAUCGCAGAACAGCAUGCUGCGGUGAAUAUGUUACUGGACUUUGCACACACCGCCCGU